GACAGAGGGGGCAAGCGUUGCUCGGAAUCACUGGGCGUAAAGGGCGCGUAGGCGGGAUGGCAAAGUCGGUCGUGAAAUCCUUCGGCUCAACCGAAGAACGUCGGCCGAUACUGCCGUUCUUGAGGGAUGCAGAGGAGAUUGGAAUUCCCGGUAUAGCGGUGAAAUGUGUAGAGAUCGGGAGGAACACCGGUGGCGAAGGCGG
rnacentral:rRNA from 1 species